GCCCGGGCGCCCGACGCGGCUACGGAGGCCGCGCGCGCCCCUGCGGCGUCGCAGCCUCUCCCACGUCAGGUGACUCUGGCCGCUCACUGGGGUCCUCCGCCGGCUGCGUCCCCGCCGUGACCAGCGACCUAAAGUUCAGUCGCGUACGACUCUUAGCGACCCCAUGGACUCUAGACGUGCCAACAAACAACUCUUACUCUCUCCCCCACGGUGUCCAGGUUGGGGCUUUCAUACGUGUUGGAUGAAUGAAUGAAUGGUGAACAGCGCGACCCCGUCCCUACUUUUCCAGUUCCCCAACCCAGCUACCGGUAAACCCCUGAACUUUCCCAGCGGAUGUUGAAGAAAGCGUCCCCAGGCCCCACCCGCGGCUUCUGGAGCCAGUGUUUCCUCACCUCCCAGCGGGACCAAGGUCCUUGCGCCCUCAGAUGGUCUCACUUGGAAUAGGCAGGGGCUAAGGAGACUCCUUUCCAAUUCGUUUUGGAGAAGACUCUUGAGAGUCCCUUGGACAGCAAGGAAAUAAAAGCAGUCAAUCCUAAAGGAAAUCAACCUUGAAUGAUCAUUGGAAGGAUUGAUGCUGAAGCUCCAAUACUUUGGCCACCUGAUGCAAAGAGCUGACUCGUUGGGAAAGACCCUGAUGCUGGCGGAGAUUGAGGGCAGGAGGAGAAGGGGGCAACAGAGGAUGAGACGGUUGGAUGGCAUCAUCGACUUAAUGGACAUGAGUUUGAGCAAACUCCGGGAGAUAGUGAAGGACAGGGAAGCUUGAUGUGCUGCAGUCCAUGGGAUCGAAAAUUGUUAGACAACGGCUCAGUGACUGAACAACAGCCCCAAGGAGACUUGAACACCACAGAGCCCUGGCACCAAAAACAGCUUGGUUCUUAAGCGUCUGCUCACCCCAAUCGCCAAGCUACAGUUAAUAAAUAUACACUCUAAGUAAAA